rnacentral:rRNA from 1 species
AUGAAACACUCCUACGGGAGGCAGCAGUGGGGAAUAUUGGACAAUGGGCGAAAGCCUGAUCCAGCCAUGCCGCGUGUGUGAAGAAGGCCCUCGGGUCGUAAAGCACUUUAAGCUGGGAGGAAGGGUUGUAACCUAAUACGUUGCAAUUUUGACGUUACCAGCAGAAUAAGCACCGGCUAACUCUGUGCCAGCAGCCGCGGUAAUACAGAGGGUGCAAGCGUUAAUCGGAAUUACUGGGCGUAAAGCGCGCGUAGGUGGCUUGGUAAGUUGAAUGUGAAAUCCCCGGGCUCAACCUGGGAACUGCAUCCAAAACUGCCUGGCUAGAGUACGGUAGAGGGUGGUGGAAUUUCCUGUGUAGCGGUGAAAUGCGUAGAUAUGGGAAGGAACACCAGUGGCGAAGGCGACCACCUGGACUGAUACUGACACUGAGGUGCGAAAGCGUGGGGAGCAAACAGGAUUAGAAACCCGGGUAGUCCGAAGUUC